AAACAACCACGCCAAAGACUGGAAAGUCCUCUCCUGGGUCGGCCCAUUUCAUUUUUAGAAAGCUCUAUUAGAAUGUUGUUUUUCCUGCCAUCCCACUAGAAUCUUUAUCCCUGAGAACCCCCAAAUCUGUACUUAUGGUGCUUUUGCAGUCGUUUGUGGAUAAGCGUAGAGUGAUGAAGGAUUUGAAUUAUCCGACAUGGAUGUUCCCAGAUGAUGUUGAAUAAGAAAGUUCCAGAGUGAAGCUCAGCUCUAGAUGAACAAAAACUGGUUGAGUCCAGAGAUGCCUGAGUUGGAGAUGAACCUUGCAAACUUUCCUCAUUACCAUACUAAAAACCCCACCCAGGAAGGAGCUUAUCUGCCAUUUCCUACACAUGUGACAUAUGGAGAAGCAUGAUCAGCUACUUCACAGUCUCUGCCUUUACUCUGCCUCCGCAUACAAUGGCUCAGCCAACUAGCCUAACGAAAGCUGUUUUCACCAUUGUUUGGGAGGUACUGCUUUGGGAAACUGCCCCAGCUGUCCUCCUUACUUGUUGUAGGUAAUAAAAUCCCUUUGUUAAAUCUUCC
rnacentral:lncRNA from 1 species